rnacentral:rRNA from 1 species
UACGUAGGGUGCAAGCGUUGUCCGGAAUUAUUGGGCGUAAAGAGCUCGUAGGCGGUCUGUCACGUCGGCUGUGAAAACCCGAGGCUCAACCUCGGGCCUGCAGUCGAUACGGGCAAACUAGAGUACUGCAGGGGAGACUGGAAUUCCUGGUGUAGCGGUGAAAUGCGCAGAUAUCAGGAGGAACACCGGUGGCGAAGGCGGGUCUCUGGGCAGUAACUGACGCUGAGGAGCGAAAGCCGUGGGGAGCGAACAGG